UUUCAGACACAGGCUGAGCCAAACUACCA
rnacentral:piRNA from 1 species